CCUACGGGCGGCAGCAGUGGGGAAUAUUGGACAAUGGGCGAAAGCCUGAUCCAGCCAUGCCGCGUGUGUGAAGAAGGCCUUCGGGUUGUAAAGCACUUUCAGUGGGGAAGAAAGCCUUGGGGCUAAUACCCUCGAGGAAGGACAUCACCCACAGAAGAAGCACCGGCUAACUCCGUGCCAGCAGCCGCGGUAAUACGGAGGGUGCGAGCGUUAAUCGGAAUUACUGGGCGUAAAGCGCGCGUAGGCGGUCUGAUAAGCCGGUUGUAAAAGCCCCGGGCUCAACCUGGGAACGGCAUCCGGAACUGUCAGGCUAGAGUGCAGGAGAGGAAGGUAGAAUUCCCGGUGUAGCGGUGAAAUGCGUAGAGAUCGGGAGGAAUACCAGUGGCGAAGGCGGCCUUCUGGACUGACACUGACGCUGAGGUGCGAAAGCGUGGGUAGCAAACAGGAUUAGAUACCCUAGUAGUC
rnacentral:rRNA from 1 species